CUUUGAGGUUUCAGUUUCAAAUCUAAACUACAAUUACAUGGGGUGUAGAAAUGGAUCAUUUCAAAGACAAAUAACAAGCUAUAAGU